GGUGACCUCGAUCAGGU
rnacentral:rRNA from 2 species